GGGCCCGCACAAGCGGUGGAGCAUGUGGUUUAAUUCGAUGAUACGCGAGGAACCUUACCAGGGCUUAAAUGUAAGUUGCAUAAACUAGAGAUAGUUUUUUCUUCGGACUACUUACAAGGUGCUGCAUGGUUGUCGUCAGCUCGUGCCGUGAGGUGUCAGGUUAAGUCCUAUAACGAGCGCAACCCCUAUCGUUAGUUGCCAACAGGUUAAGCUGGGAACUCUAACGAGACUGCCGGUGCAAACCGCGAGGAAGGUGGGGAUGACGUCAAAUCAUCACGGCCCUUACGUCCUGGGCUACACACGUGCUACAAUGGCCGGUACAGAGAGCAGCCACUCCGCGAGGAGGAGCGAAUCUAUAAAACCGGUCUCAGUUCGGAUCGCAGUCUGCAACUCGACUGCGUG
rnacentral:rRNA from 1 species